AGCUAACGACACUUGGUCAUA
rnacentral:snRNA from 1 species